GGAGUUCCGGUAAAGAAACGGCCGCUAAGUCCUAUUCCCGUCUCUUACAAUUUAUUGAACCCAAAUAAAACUUGACAUAAAACUUUUUCACAUGUAAUGGCAAAACCACUACAUCUCAGUCGCCGGUUCUCUUUUACCGCUCUCCUCCGCCCCAACUCCGUCAUUAACUCCGCCGCAACACCACCGCACUUCCCCACAACAAGUCUUUACAGGCCCACCUUCAAAUCUCUCAAACUCAUCUCUAUUUCCCGCCAAUAUUCAACCACUGCAACUCCAUACCCACUCCAAUAUGACAUGAUCAUUUCCCGACCGGUAAACACACCACCUCGAAAACCUCGCAGUAAAUUGCCGACCCAUUUGACAAAAACCCGACCCAGCAACUCAGAAUCGGAUUCUGAGCUAGGGUUUAAUGAUUGGGUGGACAAGAAGUUAGCUUCAAAUCAAGAACCCGGGUCGGGUCAAAAUGAUGUGAUGGAUAAGUCUAAGAGGAAGUAUUAUAAUAAGAAGAUGAAAAGAUUGUAUGGGUCUGAUUCAGAAGAUGAGAAGAGUGGCCAAAAGGGCGAUGAUUUUGUCGAAUUGAAACCGGAAGUUGUGGACUUCCAUAGAUUGCAUAAGAGGGAAGAGGAGUUGUAUUUCUAUGAUGCAUUUGCGUAUCCGUGGGAGAAAGAGAAGCAUUAUAAGAUGGUGUAUCAGUUGGAGAAAAAGUAUUUUCCUGAUCAGUGUUUUGAUAAGGCAUUUCUUGACCCCGGGGAUACGAAUAAUAGUAAGGUGAGGAGUAAGAAAGGAAAGGAGGGUGUAAAGAAGGAAGAUAAGGAGAAGGAAAAGGGAUUGGUGUUUUUCGAUGAGGAGAGUAGUAACGUGGUUGAGAAUGUGAAUGAUAAGGAAGUGGAAAAGAAUGUAGAUGUUACAGAGAAGAAGGUUGAGGAGUUCUUUAACACAUUGAAGAAAGUUCCAAGAAAGGAUAAUGAGGUUGCUAGUGUGGAACCGUUUAUCUCUUCGAGAAGCAGUGGACUUCCUCCUAAAUGGGAUAGUCCUACCGGCACUGUGGUUUUGGUUAAUAAACCAAAAGGAUGGACGUCAUUUACAGUUUGUGGAAAGCUACGCCGUCUGGUGAAAGUUAAAAAGGUUGGGCAUGCUGGGACUCUCGAUCCUAUGGCAACUGGUUUACUGAUUGUCUGUGUUGGUAAAGCUACGAAGGUUGUAGACAGUUAUCAGGGUAUGAUUAAAGGUUAUAGCGGAGUCUUUCGUUUAGGGGAAGCAACCUCAACACUUGAUGCUGAUUCACCGGUUAUCCAACGUGAACCAUGGGAACAUGUCAAGGAUGAGGACUUAAAGAAAACUGCAGCAUCAUUCUGUGGAGAGAUAUGGCAAGUCCCUCCGAUGUUUUCUGCAAUAAAAGUUGGAGGGGAGAAGAUGUAUGAGAAAGCACGGAGAGGUGAAAGGAUUGAACUUGCAGCACGAAGGAUUUCAAUUUUGCAGUUUGACGUGGAGCGAAGUUUAGAAGACAGGCAGAAUGUAAUUUUUAAGGUGACAUGCUCAAAAGGAACAUAUGUGCGAUCCCUUUGUGCAGAUUUUGCGAAGACUCUUGGCAGUUGUGCUCAUCUAACUGCUCUGAGAAGGGAUUCGAUUGGACAAUAUACAGCUAAUGAUGCCUGGGAAUUUAAAGAAUUAGAAGAAGCUAUCACGAAGGAAUAUUUGUAGACUUUAUUCUUUUCUGAUGCUGUCAUGGAAUUUUUUCUCGCAAAACCUCUGAAAAGGCUUCAAUCAGGACCAUCCGGGAACUGCAGCUUUUAAGUGUAAGAGACUUCAAAUGGGAAUUCUUCAUGUUCAGGCUGAACAUGAACGUGACCUGAAUGCUUUGAAAGUGAAGAACCAGAAAAAGAGUACUUGUAGCAUGUCCAUGUUGCUACUGAUGUUCACUUGGUUUAUGAUUAGUGCGUAUUUGAUGUUUACAAAUAGUAGAAUAGACAUAUAGAGUGCUGAACGUAUAUGCUAUUUAUUUCACUGUAUUAUUAUGAUCCUAAACACUGUAAUGAAUUGGUACAUUUUAACAAGAUAAGAAAAGACUUCAUUAUUGUUUUUA